AACGAACGCUGGCGGCAUGCCUAACACAUGCAAGUCGAACGAGACCUUCGGGUCUAGUGGCGCACGGGUGCGUAACGCGUGGGAACCUGCCCUUAGGUUCGGAAUAACUCCCCGAAAGGGGUGCUAAUACCGGAUAAUGUCUUCGGACCAAAGAUUUAUCGCCUUUGGAUGGGCCCGCGUUGGAUUAGCUAGUUGGUAGGGUAAAAGCCUACCAAGGCGACGAUCCAUAGCUGGUCUGAGAGGAUGAUCAGCCACACUGGGACUGAGACACGGCCCAGACUCCGGCGGGAGGCAGCAGUGCGGAAUGUGGGAAAAUGGGCGAGAGGUUGAACCAUCAAUGCCGCGGGAAUGAUGAAGGCAUGAGGGUGGUAAAGCGCUUUUACCACGGAUGACAAAGCAAGGGCGGUGAGAGUCAGCUGAGCAUACCGCCGUG
rnacentral:rRNA from 1 species